rnacentral:misc_RNA from 1 species
GGCUGGAUCACCUCCUUUCUAAGGUGUCAUUGACACAACCAAAAAUAACCUGCUUUAGGUUCGCUAUUUAGUUUUGAGAGAGCAAGGUCGUUCAACAGGCCGUAUAAGAGGAGAAGGUUCCCGAUUCAGUCUAUGUCCCGGUGAUUUUAGGCUGAUUUUCUUUCUCAAAAGUGGGAAGACUGAAAAAGGGCUAUAGCUCAGUUCCGGUCAGAGCGCACGCCUGAUAAGCGUGAGGUCGUUGGUUCGAUCCCAACUAGGCCCACCAGCAAAAAUCGGGGGUGUAGCUCAGUUGGGAGAGCGCCUGCUUUGCACGCAGGAGGUCAUCGGUUCGAAUCCGUUCACCUCCACCAGUUCUCGAAAAGUUUGGAAAGUUUGGACCGGUGUGGUCCAAAGCUCUUUGAAAAGUGAAGUGUUCUCAAGAAAGUAGUAAAAGGGAAAAAUCCUUGUUGUAAAGGCUUAUGGUCAAGCAACAAAGGGCGCACGGUGGAUGCCUUGGCGUUGGAAGGCGAUGAAGGACGUGGCUAGCUGCGAUAUGCUUCGGGGAGCUGCUAACAGGCUUUGAUCCGGAGAUUUCCGAAUGGGGCAACCCAUCCAGGGGUAAUGCCUGGAUAUCCGUCACUGAAUACAUAGGUGGCGGAGGCGAACGAGGUGAACUGAAACAUCUAAGUACCCUCAGGAAGAGAAAUCAAUUGAGAUUCCCUCAGUAGCGGCGAGCGAACGGGGAAGAGCCCAAACCGAUGACGUGUUCAAGCCGGCAAGCGUUGCGGCAUCGGGGUUGUGGGGCUGAAUCGGAGGUGGUUGCCGCCACUUCGGCAAGUCACAAAACUUGACGUUAGUCGAAGCGUCUGGAAAGUCGCAUCAUAGAAGGUGACAGUCCUGUAGGCGAAAGCGUCAAGUCUUGCUGGGUUCAGAUCCCGAGUACCACGGGGCACGUGAAACCUUGUGGGAAUCUGGGAGGACCAUCUUCCAAGGCUAAAUACUAACCAACGACCGAUAGUGAACUAGUACCGUGAGGGAAAGGUGAAAAGUACGGGGUGACCGAGUGAAAUAGUACCUGAAACCGUGCGCUUACAAGCUGUGGAAGGGCGAUAACAAGUUUCGGCUUGUUCGCCUGACUGCGUGCCUUUUGCAUAAUGAGUCAGCGACUUACUCUUGGUGGCGAGGUUAAGCCGAAAGGUGUAGCCGGAGCGAAAGCGAGUCUGAAUAGGGCGUAUUAGUCGCCGGGAGUAGACCCGAAGCCGGGUGAUCUAUCCAUGGCCAGGGUAAAGUCCGGGUAACACCGGAUGGAGGCCCGAACCAGUUAACGUUGAAAAGUUAUUGGAUGAGCUGUGGAUAGGAGUGAAAGGCUAAUCAAACCCGGAAAUAGCUGGUUCUCCCCGAAAUAUAUUGAGGUAUAGCCUCGCAUGAUGAGUAGCGGAGGUAGAGCACUGAAUGGGCUAGGGGUCUCACAAGAUUACCAAACCCAAUCAAACUCCGAAUGCCGCUAGCUUUAGUGCGGGAGUCAGUCUACGGGUGAUAAGAUCCGUGGGCGAGAGGGAAAGAUCCAGAUCGCCGGCUAAGGUCCCCAAAUUUGUGCUAAGUGGGAAAGGAUGUGGAAACGCCCAGACAGCCAGGAGGUUGGCUUAGAAGCAGCCAUCCUUUAAAGAAAGCGUAAUAGCUCACUGGUCGAGUGGGUCUGCGCCGAAAAUUUAACGGGGCUUAAGCACGAUACCGAAGCCGCGGGAUCAAUAUUUAUAUUGAUCGGUAGGGGAGCAUUGUCGUAACCGCUUGAAGGCAUACCGUAAGGAGUGCUGGAGGACCGACAAGAGAUUAUGCUGACAUGAGUAGCGAUAAAGGGGGCGAGAAACCCCCUCGCCGUAAGCCUAAGGUUUCCUGGGUAAAGUUAAUCUUCCCAGGGUUAGUCGAUCCCUAAGCCGAGGCCGAAAGGCGUAGGCGAUGGAAAGCAGGUUGAUAUUCCUGCACCACCUGGUGCGCAGUGACCGAUGGAGGGACGCAGGAGGGUAGGCCAUCCGGGUGUUGGACGUCCCGGUUCAAGCCUGUAGGCGGGAGAUUUAGGCAAAUCCGGAUCUCUGUUAACGCUGAGAGGUUAUGAGGAGGGCUUUUAGCCCAUAAACUGGUUAAUCCCAUGCUGCCAAGAAAAGCUUCUAGGUAGUUCAUCAGGUGAUCGUACUGGAAACCGACACAGGUAGGCAGGGAGAGUAUCCCAAGGCGCUUGAGAGAACCCUGGUUAAGGAACUCGGCAAAAUGACACCGUAACUUCGGGAGAAGGUGUGCCCUCAUUAGGUGAAGGACUUCGCGUCCGGAGCUGAAGGGGGUUGCAGUGAAAUGGGGGUGGCGACUGUUUACUAAAAACACAGGACUCUGCGAAGCCGCAAGGCGAUGUAUAGGGUCUGACGCCUGCCCGGUGCCGGAACGUUAAGGGAGGGGUCAUCUGGGCAACUGGAGAAGCUCUGAACCGAAGCGCCGGUAAACGGCGGCCGUAACUAUAACGGUCCUAAGGUAGCGAAAUUCCUUGUCGGUAAGUUCCGACCUGCACGAAUGGCGUAACGAUCUCCCCACUGUCUCAACCAGGGACUCAGCGAAAUUGUAUUCGCGGUGAAGAUGCCGCGUUCCCGCAACUAGACGGAAAGACCCCGUGCACCUUUACUAUAGCUUGGCAUUGAAUUUUGGGCUAACUUGUGUAGGAUAGGUGGGAGGCUAUGAAAUUCGGACGCUAGUUCGGAUGGAGCCAACCUUGAAAUACCACCCUGGUUAGUUUAGAGUUCUAACUCAGGCCCGUUAUCCGGGUCGAGGACACUGGCCUGGCGGUAGUUUGACUGGGGCGGUCGCCUCCAAAAAAGUAACGGAGGCGCG